GAUUCGAGUCGAUUGUAGCGCGUUCUUCACGAUUCUUUCCACUGCCAAAAGCUAUUAAAAGCUGUGGCGAGCGACGGAGCGAUGGCGCUACAGAGAUGGGAGAUGAGGUGUAGUGAGGACAUAGCUACGGUUGACACGUUCUCAGAACAUUAAUCCGGACUCUAAUAAUGAACAGAGAGGGAGGUGAAGUGAGAGUCGUGCGCCCCUAAGAAAGGGGAAGAUGGAGUGGGAGUCGCUUCGCGUGAAAGUCGUGCAACCCUAUGUGAGAAGAUAAGGUAGAAUAAAUAAUUAAAAAAAUAGCCGAAAAAUGUCGAAAUUCAGAAAAGGCCCUAUUGUAAAUAAUUUCCAGAUUUUGUUCUAAUCGUGAAUGAAAAGAAGUAAAACAUGAAGAGAUGUUUGAUCUUUUCACUAAGAUAAUAUAAACUGCCGACAUUUGCAUUACCUAAUGUGCAUAUGGAGAUUGAAUAUCAUAAAUUCAAUGUGCUGGAUGACAGCAUAUGCACAGCAUAUGUUUUCAUCGAUUUUACAUCUUGAUAUAUUGGAAUUAUGAGGCCG